UACAGGGGGUGCAAACGUUGCUCGGAAUCAUUGGGCGUAAAGGGUGCGUAGGCGGCGCGGUAAGUCGGGUGUGAAAUCUCGGGGCUUAACUCCGAAACUGCAUUCGAUACUGCCGUGCUUGAGGACUGGAGAGGAGACUGGAAUUUACGGUGUAGCGGUGAAAUGCGUAGAUAUCGUAAGGAAGACCAGUGGCGAAGGCGGGUCUCUGGACAGUUCCUGACGCUGAGGCACGAAGGCCAGGGGAGCAAACGGG
rnacentral:rRNA from 1 species